GUGCCAGCAGCCGCGGUAAUACGUAGGGUGCGAGCGUUAAUCGGAAUUACUGGGCGUAAAGCGUGCGCAGGCGGUUGUGUAAGACAGGUGUGAAAUCCCCGGGCUUAACCUGGGAACUGCGCUUGUGACUGCACGGCUAGAGUACGGCAGAGGGGGGUGGAAUUCCACGUGUAGCAGUGAAAUGCGUAGAGAUGUGGAGGAACACCGAUGGCGAAGGCAGCCCCCUGGGCCGAUACUGACGCUCAUGCACGAAAGCGUGGGUAGCAAACAGGAUUAGAAACCCCGGUAGUCC
rnacentral:rRNA from 1 species